GGAUGAUCAGCCAACAAGCAUCGCCAACAAGCAUGGCUCCCGCACGCUAGAAGUGGGAUGGGUUUCACUAUAAACUUUUAAGUGCUCAUGAAUAAACUGUUCAAAGUUCAUUAGUUUGCAAGAUAAUAAACAUAGAUGCUUCAAACCCUCUCGGCAAUUGCAACUGAAGGAUCUUCUAUGAUUUGCAAGGAUGACACAACCUUGUCGGCAAUUGCAUUCGAAGAUUCUCGUUUGAUUUCCAAGAAGAAGGCUUUCAGUUGUCCAGGCCAGGCCAGGUGACCAUUGACGAUGAUAGAUCGGGUUCGAUUCAAGCUAUACGCUUGGUGUAUUUGGUUAUCGUGACCGGCGACUUGAGUCUAUCUCAUCUCUCGUCCAAAGCGCGGUGGCUGGGUCCCAGGCAUGCUUGCCACUUUGUUCCACGGUCCACAUCUAAGUUUCGACGGUGAUGACAUGGACUUAGGUUCAAGGAACGUGAUCCCCUUGAGUCAUUGUGGUUGAUUGAUGGGGGCAAUAGACGGUUGCGUGUCGCUAGUCAUUCAAUUGGUCCCCUUGUUUUAGAGUGUUGGCGGGAUAAGUCUUACGACUGUUAACAAUAGUAAGCAAUAGCUGGCCAGCGAUCCCCUACCUGAUCUCGAGGGGGAUGGAAUGACUGGGGAAUAGGCCUGUUGUUAACCUGCGGAAUUUCGUCGGACGAAAUGUCAGGCGUGUCCGUGUGGGACUUGUGCUAAACCAGUUUAGUACAUAUGACGAAGACAUUGGGCUCUUUGAAUAACAACAGUGUCCUUGACCUCCUUGUGCCUCACAAAGCUAAUAAUAUACACCCCCUGAAAUCGACAAGACGGCGAUGAAGAAGGAGAGCCGGCCUCCAGCUUGUCAGCCGAGAAGACACUGGAUGGACCCCAAGGAUAUGUUGCUGCCAAUGUUAGAGCCAUACAGGGCAGCCCGAGCCAACAUUGUACAAGGGCCACAAGGACAAGGGACACAAGGACAAGGGACACAAGGAUAAGGGACACAAAAGACGAUGUUGCAGUCUACAGGGCUAUGCAGAUGACUGGAGAUGAUGGCUGUUGAGUUGACCCAAUGACUUCCACCACGAUCUACGAUGCGUACUGAAGCAAGAACGACUCUCAAAGACCCAGAAAGCAACAGAUUCCAACACUUCGCCCCAUGAUAAGAUGCCUUCAUACCCAUCCAUCGACAAUUUGGGGAAGACAGCCUUAUUGACCUUCAUGGGGAUCUUCCUGGCAGAUGUUGUAUGAGGAAGGAUUCAAAGCGUAUACACCAUGCUUGGAUGAGGGCCUGAGAGUCGUGUAGAUUCAAUGGAUGGAAUCGUCUCGCUCAGGGAUAUCGGCGGUGGACACUUACAUCGUGUGUCAUUCGAAUAGACUUUAAUGACAAUCGAAAUGAUGCUCUAAGGGGACUCUGAUGACUCUAAGGACAUAGAGCCCUUCUCGUUAUGUAAUGUGACGCCAUAUCAAGCAGCCACCAUGGAGCCAGCUCAUCUCUUACAUAUGGAAGGAUGCCAUCUCAUAAGGAGAUGAGCCAUCCCACAGAAGGGAGGAGGAUGUUGCUAAGCCAGCACAUCUCUACCAUGCUCCCGUCGCCGUCAAGGAGUUUUGUCACCAUAGGCCUUACCCUUUUAUUGCAAUAUCUGAUUGAAAGGUGAUUUGAUAAAAAUCCUGAUAAUUUAUUUUCUGAUUGCGAUAAGGCAAUUAUUUGCCUUCUUUCGGGCAAUGACAAACUCUUGCCAUGGCUCAAAAUCGUAUAAUUUUAAAGAAGAGUUAAGAAAAUGAAGGGAGGGUGUAAUAAGGUAACCAGGGGGAACCAGGGCCUGUCACAAGCCCAGAAAUUAUUUUCAAGCAAGAUUGAUAAGGAAAAUCAAAUUGUGGAGGGGAUGAUCUGGCUAACAGGACAGCCAACUGGGUAUUACUUGGCACCCAAACAAAACAUUCACAAUAGCCUAGGGUAAGGUACUUUGGGACCCUACCCGCUGCUUCAGAUUUGUUUCAAGGAAAAAAUAUCUUUCUGCUUUAAAAAUCACCUAAUUCAUCAGAUAUUGUAUUUGAUUAUGUCCAUCACAUGAGACAUGGGGUUCACAUGACAAUCGCUUUGCUCUAACCCCAGGCAAAGCGAAUGAACAUGUGUGUCUUGAUGGAACUGUAGGCCUUUUUACUGUUUCUUGAUCUCUUCAGUACCACAGAAUCCACUGGCAUUUAAACACCACCUGGGCCCAGGCGCCAAAGAUCCUUUGUAUCAUUGGCUGGCUCAGUUGCUCAGUGUCUUUCAUACUUUCAUACUAGAGACAACUGACCAACAACACAAAUUUAGUGAAUUUUUAUUUCCUCGUCACUUUUUAAUCAAUACCCGUGAACAAAAAAAUCUCGGGAUACAAAACAUCUUUUCACCAAUUUAACUGAUAAGCUUUAUAAAUAAAACAAUUGUUUUAAAAUAGUCAAUAUUAAGAUAUUAAACUAUUAAAAUAGAAAUGUGUCAAUAAAACUAUUGUUUUAUUGAAACUUAUCAGAAAAAGACUGGUUCUUGAUCCUACCUAUAGCGGUCUCACAGGAAAGAAUCUUAGCCUUUUUCUUUGUUUCGAUUCAAGAAGACUUUCAUUGCAAGAGCAUAAUUAUCAUGUUCUGCAGGUUAUGAAAGAUAUCAUUUUGCCCCAUCAAGAACAUUUUUAUUGGACUUGGUACUGAAUGAUUUGAGAAAAGUGUAACGUCAACUUGUAAGACGUUUUAUAUUGUCAUAUACAUGUAUGUUUGUAAUUAUAUUUGUAAUGCAUGUAAAUCUUGUAAGUAAAAUAAAAGAGAUCUAAGACUCAACUUGAAAAAAAACCCUGGCAGACCAACAUCCAGUCUUGCCAGUUCAAAGCUACCUCUUUUGUCAUACAAAUACAUGUCACCUCUGCUCCUUUUGUCAUGCUAAUUGGCAGUUCCUGGCCAUGAGAAAUGUGGUUCUUUUGUUAUUCAAAUUGGACCCUAAACCUGUUUAGUCAUGGAUUAAUGAGAGCAGUGACCUAACCUAUUGUUCGCUGAACAUGGCUCUCCUGAAGUCAUACACAAUAGGUUUUAAUACAUGUACAAUAGCUAAAAGUUGUAUAGAAUGUAUAGGGACAUAAUAAAUGUAUGCAGAGGUUAAGUACCAGCUCAUUGUUGGAAUUAUUGAGUCAUCUCCUGUAAGAUCUCUAUUCAGCAGUGUCUUUUUUGGACAUUUUAAAGGAGGAGAACAUGUGUGAUAGUACAAUUAUCUCCAUGUCUCGUCCUUUAAUGGGCGUUGGAGUGGCACAGUGACUAUGAUCGAUGUAAUGUACAUGUAUGAAGUCAUUAUGGUCGGAAGCGCUGUGCCUGUCACCUGUGUGAUGGAGUUUACGACUCACUCUAAUUGCGUAGGUUUUCUCCCGUUGAAACGGUUUUCCUCCUACUUUUCGAGUUGCCAUGUGAGAAUAAUUCUUGGAAUGUGCAACAAUAAAUAAUUGUCAAA